GACGAACGCUGGCGGCGUGCUUAACACAUGCAAGUCGAACGGAAAGGCCCUGCUUUUGUGGGGUGCUCGAGUGGCGAACGGGUGUGUAACACGUGAGUAACCUGCCCUUGACUUUGGGAUAACUUCAGGAAACUGGGGCUCAUACCGGAUAGGAGCUCCUGCUGCAUGGUGGGGGUUGGAAAGUUUCGGCGGUUGGGGAUGGACUCGCGGCUUAUCAGCUUGUUGGUGGGGUAGUGGCUUACCAAGGCUUUGACGGGUAGCCGGCCUGAGAGGGUGACCGGCCACAUUGGGACUGAGAUACGGCCCAGACUCCUACGGGAGGCAGCAGUGGGGAAUAUUGCACAAUGGGCGGAAGCCUGAUGCAGCAACGCCGCGUGCGGGAUGACGGCCUUCGGGUUGUAAACCGCUUUCGCCUGUGACGAAGCGUGAGUGACGGUAAUGGGUAAAGAAGCACCGGCUAACUACGUG
rnacentral:rRNA from 1 species